rnacentral:rRNA from 1 species
AUGCAGUACUAGUCGGUGGAGGAGGCGGAGGAGAUCCUGGGCAAGCGCGUGCGCGUCGACCGCCUCGACAGCCGGACCCAUGAGCGCGGCCACACCAAAACGUUCGCGUGCUGGGUCUGGACCGGCGAUGUCGCCAACAUCCCCACCAAGCACACACUGGGGGUGCUACCGCGCGGUGCCGGCCAGGUGGAGGAGAUGGAGGGGUUCCCCCCCGACAGGCGCGUCGCUCCCCCGCCGGCCACCACUGACUACACCAUGCUCAUCCACGUUGACCGCGUGGAGGAUUGGACGCCGCCAUCGCCGCGCUCUUCCCACUCGGGGCAGAGCGGACUGCCAUCCUCUGACUCCGACACCGAUAACCGCCCCUUCCCUGAGGUCCUCUCCGGCACGUGGACGAUGGAGGUUGAAGAUGGCCAGCGCGGAGAUCGACAGCAGUGCCUGGGUCGGGCGCCGGUCGCUGACCUGGGCUGCCGCGGCCUGCCUCAUGGUGGGCACGAGCGCGCCCGUGAUGAAGAUGACGGCGCUGGACGCGGCGGCCGUCGCUCCUGGAAGGAUGCCCUACUUCGGCGUGGACGUGCGCUCGCCCAUCAGCCUUCGGCUCCGGCCCCGCGUCAGCGCAGCCGCUCCCUCCUGCAUGGCGCCACUCCAGGAGCGCGCGCACCCAUCGUCGUGAUGAGAAGAAGGCCACAACUGGGGCGACAUGCCCACCCCAGCGCCGUCGAUCGACCCCCUGCCUACGCCCUCGGCUGGGGGGAAACGUCGCCGUCAGAAACAACGACAAGGACCCUGUCGACGAGUUCUUCAAGGCGGCAAAGUGACCUUCCGUCGCCUCCGUGA